rnacentral:rRNA from 1 species
CCUACGGGAGGCAGCAGUAGGGAAUAUUGCUCAAUGGGGGAAACUCUGAAGCAGCAACGCCGCGUGGAGGAUGAAGGUUUUCGGAUUGUAAACUCCUUUUGUUAGAGAAGAUAAUGACGGUAUCUAACGAAUAAGCACCGGCUAACUCCGUGCAAGCAGCCGCGGUAAUACGGAGGGUGCAAGCGUUACUCGGAAUCACUGGGCGUAAAGAGCGCGUAGGCGGGAUAGCAAGUCAGAUGUGAAAUCCUAUGGCUUAACCAUAGAACUGCAUUUGAAACUGUUAUUCUAGAGUAUGGGAGAGGUAGGUGGAAUGCUUGGUGUAGGGGUAAAAUCCGUAGAGAUCAAGAGGAAUACUCAUUGCGAAGGCGACCUGCUAGAACAUAACUGACGCUGAUGCGCGAAAGCGUGGGGAGCAAACAGGAUUAGAUACCCGGGUAGUC